rnacentral:lncRNA from 1 species
UACUUGUCAUAAAUUGAUGCUAAUCUUCCCAUAGUACAGAGGAAGACAAGUAAAUUUUAUAUGUAAGUGUUAUCAUUUUCAUUCAUAUUAAGAGUAGAUUGAAUAGGCAAGUGGACUUCACAUGUAAUCACUGUUCACCUGAAAGCCUAUACAGUACUAUUUGAAGAACAGAGUUUCUAAUCAUUUUCCUGCUGCAUGGAAACAUUUGCUACUGUUGGACAUAUUACCUCUAAUAGCAGACCCUAUUCUACUGCCUCAGCUCCACUGGAGUCUCACUGAGCCUACUCUGGCUUUGGAGGUGCCAAGUCACCAAGAGAGAUUCUCAGAGGCCCAUUGCAUCUAUUUCUCUCUUGCAUCAACUGGGCAUCAUGAUUAUCAAGUCUGCCGUGAUGUCUAUCUACAUUUGGGCAAGAAUACAAAUGAAGGUUCACCUGAAAGUUAUGAAGGAGGCUAAGAAAUUGUUACAUAAUACGUAAUAUAAUUUUCUACCAUGUAAAAUAUAACUCUAUAAAAACAG